GAUCCUGGCUCCGGAUGAACGCUAGCGACAGGCCUAACACAUGCAAGUCGAGGGGCAGCACAGGUAGCAAUACCGGGUGGCGACCGGCGCACGGGUGAGUAACGCGUAUGCAACUUGCCUAUCAGAGGGGGAUAACCCGGCGAAAGUCGGACUAAUACCGCAUGAAGCAGGGGCCCCGCAUGGGGAUAUUUGCUAAAGAUUCAUCGCUGAUAGAUAGGCAUGCGUUCCAUUAGG
rnacentral:rRNA from 1 species